UCCCUGGUGGUCUAGUGGCUAAGACUCUGUGUUCCCAAUGCAGGGGGCCCAGGUUCAAUCCCUCAUCAAGGAA
rnacentral:tRNA from 1 species